GCCGUGGUCGUAUAGUGGUUAGUACUCUGCACUGGGACUGCAGAAGCCUCGGUUCGAAUCCGAGUCACGGCA